UAUGUUUAAAACCAGUAAUUAUAAAAAGAAACUCCAGAAAAAAAAGGUGAAUUAUAUUAUUUAAUAUAAUUUGCAUAUUUAUGGAAUAAUCCUAGGUUAGGAAUAAUGAACUUUAAAUCAAACAAUGAUAAAAAUCUUCUCAGAAGCAUUAGUGAAAAUUCUACAAGAAAGAAGAUAUAUACAACCAGUGAUAGUCUAUUCCACAAAAUUAAAGAAAACUCUCCAAGAAGUGCAUAUUUGCAUUGGAUGCAGUUUUACUUACCAACAUACAAGUUAUCGGUGUAGUUUACAUGAGUCUGUGAACAUCAUCGAACAUACACAUCUUGUCGACAACACUGUGAAGAAAAAUAUUCUGCUAGACCGAAGAAGAAUUUCUGAUAUGAAAUAGAAACCAGAUCAAAUUAUCAGUGAAUGAAAAAAUGAAGAUGCAGUGACUUUUUUCAUAAGCUACAGAAGAAAGAAGAAUUCUUAAUGGCAAGCUGCAGAAGAAAGGAGAAUCUUUAAUAGCAAGCUGCAGAAGAAAGCAGAAUCCUCAAUGGCAGGAAA